UACGUAGGGUGCAAGCGUUGUCCGGAAUUAUUGGGCGUAAAGCGCACGUAGGCGGCAUUGCAAGUCGGAUGUGAAAUCCCUCGGCUCAACCAAGGAAGUGCAUCCGAAACUGCUGUGCUUGAGUACUUAAGAGGAUCGCGGAAUUCCCGGUGUAGAGGUGAAAUUCGUAGAUAUCGGGAGGAACACCAGUGGCGAAGGCGGCGAUCUGGGAAGAUACUGACGCUGAGGUGCGAAAGCGUGGGGAACAAACAGG
rnacentral:rRNA from 1 species